rnacentral:rRNA from 1 species
UACAGAGGUCUCAAGCGUUGUUCGGAAUCACUGGGCGUAAAGGGUGUGUAGGUGGCGCCGUAAGUCGGGUGUGAAAUCUCGGAGCUUAACUCCGAAACUGCAUUCGAUACUGCGGUGCUUGAGGACUGGAGAGGAGACUGGAAUUCAUGGUGUAGCAGUGAAAUGCGUAGAGAUCAUGAGGAAGACCAGUGGCGAAGGCGGGUCUCUGGACAGUUCCUGACGCUGAGACACGAAAGCCAGGGGAGCAAACGGG